rnacentral:rRNA from 1 species
CCUACGGGAGGCAGCAGUGGGGAAUAUUGCGCAAUGGGCGAAAGCCUGACGCAGCGACGCCGCGUGAGGGAUGAAGGUCUUCGGAUCGUAAACCUCUGUCAGCAGGGAAGAACGGUCACUGUGCUAAUCAGCAGUGAAUUGACGGUACCUGCAAAGGACGCACCGGCUAACUCCGUGCCAGCAGCCGCGGCAAUACGGAGGGUGCGAGCGUUAAUCGGAAUUACUGGGCGUAAAGCGCUCGUAGGCGGUAUGUCAAGUCAAGGGUGAAAUCCCCGCGCUCAACGUGGGAACUGCCUUUGAUACUGGCAGACUGGAGUGUGGGAGAGGAUGGUGGAAUUCCGGGUGUAGGAGUGAAAUCCGUAGAUAUCUGGAGGAACAUCAGUGGCGAAGGCGACUAUCUGGCACAUAACUGACGCUGAGGAGCGAAAGCGUGGGUAGCAAACAGGAUUAGAUACCCUGGUAGUC